GGUGAGAUGGCCGAGUUGGUCUAAGGCGCCAGGUUAAGGUAAUAAACUCUUAACAAACGGUUGUUCACAAUCUCCUGGUCUAGUAAUAGGCGUGGGUUCGAAUCCCACUCUCAUCA
rfam:Sclerotinia sclerotiorum 1980 scaffold_23 genomic scaffold, whole genome shotgun sequence.